CAAUAGCGUAUAUUAAAGUUGUUGCAGUUAAAAAGCUCGUAGUUGGAUUUGUGGUUCGUCCCGCCGGCUGGGUCAUUGACUUUUGCUGUGCUGGUCGUCCAUCCUUGGGUGGAAUCUGUGUGGCAUUAGGUUGUCGCGCAGGGGGUGCCCAUCGUUUACUGUGAAAAAAUUAGAGUGUUCAAAGCAGGCUUAUGCCGUUGAAUAUAUUAGCAUGGAAUAAUGAUAUAGGACCUUGGUACUAUUUUGUUGGUUUGCGCAUCGAGGUAAUGAUUAAUAGGGACAGUUGGGGGUAUUCGUAUUCCAUUGUAAGAGGUGAAAUUCUUGGAUUUUUGGAAGACGAACUACUGCGAAAGCAUUUACCAAGGAUGUUUUCAUUAA
rnacentral:rRNA from 1 species